rnacentral:rRNA from 1 species
UCUGGCACCUUCGGUGUCCGAGUUGUAAUUUGAAGAUUGUAACCUUGGGGUUGGCUCUUGUCUAUGUUUCUUGGAACAGGACGUCACAGAGGGWGAGAAUCCCGUGCGAUGAGAUGCCCAAUCCUAUGUAAGGUGCUUUCGAAGAGUCGAGUUGUUUGGGAAUGCAGCUCUAAGUGGGUGGUAAAUUCCAUCUAAAGCUAAAUAUUGGCGAGAGACCGAUAGCGAACAAGUACAGUGAUGGAAAGAUGAAAAGAACUUUGAAAAGAGAGUGAAAAAGUACGUGAAAUUGUUGAAAGGGAAGGGUUUGAGAUCAGACUCGAUAUUUUGUGAGCCUUGCCUUCGUGGCGGGGUGACCCGCAGCUUAUCGGGCCAGCAUCGGUUUGGGCGGWAGGAUAAUGGCGUAGGAAUGUGACUUUGCUUCGGUGAAGUGUUAUAGCCUGCGUUGAUGCUGCCUGCCUAGACCGAGGACUGCGA